GGACACGCAAAGGCCCAGUGUGUUGGAAUUGCCACCCUCACUCCCUGCCUGGGGCAAGGGCGGUCAUGUUUGGGUCUAGGGGUACCACUCCUGUCCCUUUGGAAAGAAGGGAGAAGCAGCACCCCCUUCUGGCCCUUAGUUUUUCCAUCUGCAAAAUAAACCUACUUAAGCAGAUGACUCCCAGCGACCCCUGAAACUGAGAUUUCCCAUCUCCAGGGUGGGAGAAGCGCAGUGGGGAGGGGAGGACGGGUAGGUCUAGUCAGAUCUGUCAUCACCCUGCAGUUGAUCUGUUUCCCCAAUCCACUCCAGUCAUCUCAAACUGGACUUCAGGGGGCCACUGACUUUUCAAGUAUUCUUCUUCCUGGCCUCAUCCUGCGCUCUUGAGUCCUGCUCCUGAGUAGAGGAGAAUUGGAUGCAGCCCUCUAGGGCCUUGAAGUAUGAGAGGGGAAACUGCUAACCAGAACGACAGAGGAAACAGCUGGGAAGAGGCAGCUCAAGGUUGUGACGGUGCGCGAGAUGGCUGGACAGGCGGCAGUCUGCAGUCUUCUCGGCUCUCUGGCCUCCCAUCUGCCCACAUCCACCACCAAAAACCUUACUUAUUCCUAGGACCUGGCCUUCUCCUUUAAGCUUCCUGCAAGAACCAGUCCUCUUAAGCCCCAUACUAGCUGCAUCCCAGAAAGCCCUCCGUGCUGCCAAGAUGACAUCACCUGCUCAGUAACUCCACCUAAUGUCUGAAGCCAGACAUGUCGCUCCAUGUGCUUCCAGGAAGCAGCAGGAUGUAGGGGAAAGAGCACAGAAAUCAGACAGCCUUCUGCCUCAGUCCCGCUCUGCCACACAUCAGCAGGUGACAGAAGGCUGCCCAGGAACCCUCGGCCCAAGGAAGCAGAACUCAGGAACUUCAAUCCAAUGAAUGAACCAACAGUGACCGAGCCCCCAGGGCCCCAAAUUCACAGGCAGGAGAUCCUCCAGGAAACCUCCAUAGAACACUAUGCUCUGAGCUGGGUGUCAAGAAAGCAGGAUGUCGG